rnacentral:lncRNA from 1 species
AAAAAGACACAUGUACCCCAUGGAGUUCCCGUCGUGGCGCAGUGGUUAACAAAUCUGACUAGGAACCAUGAGGUUGCAGGUUUGAUCCCUGCCCUUGCUCAGUGGGUUAAGGAUCUGGCGUUGCCGUGAGCUGUGGUGUAGGUUGCAGACGCGGCUCGGAUCCCGCGUUGCUGUGGCUCUGGCAUAGGCUGGCAGCUACAGCUCCGAUGAGACCCCUUGCCUGGGAACCUCCAUAUGCCAUGGGAGCAGCCCAAGAAAUGGCAAAAAGACAAAAAAAAAAAAAAAAAAGACACAUGUACCCCAGUGUUCAUGGCAGCACUGUACACAACAGCCAAGCAAACUAAAUGUCCAUAGACAGAGUGGAUAAAGAAGAUGUGGGACAUAUACACAAUGGAAUACUACUCAGCCAUAAAAAGGAAUAAAAUAAUGGCAUUUGCAGCAACAUGGAUGGACCUAAAAAUCACCAUGCUAAGUGAAGUUAGUCAGAUACUCAUAUGCUAUCACUUAUAUGUGGAAUCUAACAAAAGGAUACAAUGAACUUAUUUGCAGAGCAGACAGGGACGCGCAAACUUUGAAAAACGUGUGGUUACCAAAGGGGACGGGAUGGGCUUGGGGGUUGGGAUAGAAAUGCUGUAAAACUGGGUUGUGAUGAUGGUUGUACAACUAUUAAUGUAAUGAAAUUAACUGAGUGUAAAAAAAUAACAUAAAGGAAAAGUUACAACUGACACCCCAGAAUUACAAAGGAUCAUAAGAGACUACUAUGAACUAUAUGCCCAUGAAACAGACUAUCUAGAAAGAAAUGGGCAAAUUCGUUGAAAUGCACAAUCUUCCAAGACUGAACCAGGACGAACCCAGAAAAUAUGAGGAGACCCAUUACCACUAAUGAAAUUCAAUCAGUAAUUUUAAAACUCCCAACAAACACAAGUCCAGGACCAGAUGGCUUCACAGGUGAAUUCUACCAAACAUUUAGAGAAGAGCAAAUACUUCUUCUCCUUCAACUAUUCCAAAAAUUGCAGAGGAAGGAACACUCUCAAACUCAUACGAUGAGGCUACCAUCAUCCUGAUACCCAAAUCAGAAGAAGAUACUGCAAAGAAGAAA